CUUAAUACAACUUUCAACAACGGAUCUCUUGGCUCUCGCAUCGAUGAAGAACGCAGCGAAAUGCGAUAAGUAAUGUGAAUUGCAGAAUUCAGUGAAUCAUCGAAUCUUUGAACGCACCUUGCGCUCCUUGGUAUUCCGAGGAGCAUGCCUGUUUGA
rnacentral:rRNA from 5 species